GGUUAAGCGACUAAGCGUACACGGUGGAUGCCCUGGCAGUCAGAGGCGAUGAAGGACGUGCUAAUCUGCGAUAAGCGUCGGUAAGGUGAUAUGAACCGUUAUAACCGGCGAUUUCCGAAUGGGGAAAUCCAGUGUGUUUCGACACACUAUCAUUAACUGAAUCCAUAGGUUAAUGAGGCGAACCGGGGGAACUGAAACAUCUAAGUACCCCGAGGAAAAGAAAUCAACCGAGAUUCCCCCAGUAGCGGCGAGCGAACGGGGAGCAGCCCAGAGCCUGAAUCAGUGUGUGUGUUAGUGGAAGCGUCUGGAAAGGCGCGCGAUACAGGGUGACAGCCCCGUACACAAAAAUACACAU
rnacentral:rRNA from 1 species